UGGAGCAGGAAAGAUGAAUUUAGACCACUUUUGCACUCUCUCGCUCAUGGAGCUGCAAGUCCCCAUUAGCUGCAGCACCCAUCCUUCUUCCACACCGUCUCAGCCAGAGGCGACUCAGAUUGGAGCCUCUACAGCAGCUCAGCUCCCUGUGCUGACUCACCUGCACUGGGAUCCCUGAAGUGCCUGAGUCACUCGCUCCACAGCUCCUUCACAUGGGAACUGAGGCACAGUAGGGGAACUCCAGCCCAGGUCAGGAUCUGCCUUGGGGUUUCCUCUGCUUCGGAUCUGCACUUGAACAGGAUAUGGCCUUCGGUAUCUGGCAUCGGGUGGAAAAUGCAGCAGAUGCUUGUUGCCCUGAAUAGGAAAACCAGAGCUGGAGCUGAGGUGGUGCUUCCAGCAUGGAGCAGAGUGCACAGGAGGCAAAUGUGCAGGGGACUUCAGCUUAGAUUCAACAAGAUACAUCUUAUGCUUAACCUUAAGCAAAAUUGUUACUUCAGCAAGACUAUUCACAGGCUCCAAGAUGAACAUAAACCAGUUUUGCUGGGGAACACAAAAUCACAUCAUAAAAUCCUCCGGGUAACAAAAGCUCACAGCUCCGUCUGAAGCAGGGAAGAUGAGGAGGUUACAGGAGGACACAGAGAAGCCAAAGGAGGUCACUGGAUGAGUCAUUCGCACUCAGAGUGAAGACUUCGGAUGAUCACAGAUUACCAACCACGCUCUCCAGUUCAAAGAUACACACAACCCAAUGAACUCCUGCUGAAUAUCCCCGCCCUGUGUUGCUUUUCCUUGCUAUCAAUAUGAGUCUGACAUGAUAUGGUGUUAAAUGAAAUCAGGAUAACAGCAGCCAUGGGAGGUCAAUAAAUUUGUGUGGUAUAUAAUCAAGUAUGUGCCUCGCACAGGUAGAUUCUCGCUUUAUGAGAUCGUGGGAGUUAACUUUCAUUUAGCAAAAAUAAGUAUUCAGCCAACUGAGGCCCUGCUCUUUUACAUACAAAUAGGCUCUUCUGUUCAUCUGUAUUCUAUAAAGGCUUGUUAUUCUUCCGUGUUUAUCAGAUCUGCGAUAUUGAGGAGAACAGAAAACGUGUGUGAUAUCCGCCAGCUGGAUUCCAUCUGUCUUUUCUCUGUGGAGAUGGAGUUUCAAAGGCUACAUCCUAUCUACCCUCACACCCUCUCCUGACAUGAGAGGCUAAGUGUAAAGUUUGGCCAAAGUGAUGGAAAAACAAUAUCUCUUUUGUACAUCACAACAAUUUUCCUACCUACACAAAAGUGGCAUUCUUCUUGU